UUACCCUAAUUCAGGGGUUGCUGAUGGUCUGAUCUUGAAGGAGGGUUUGAAGCUACCAAACCCUUCUGGGCAGGUGAGAGUUGAAAAGAACAAAGUGGCAAGAAAGCUGUUAGGAGCAGAAGAAUUUUCAGACUAUGCAAGCCCAGAACAUAA